UACAGAGGUCUCAAGCGUUGUUCGGAUUCAUUGGGCGUAAAGGGUGCGUAGGCGGCGCGGUAAGUCGGGUGUGAAAUCGUGGAGCUUAACUCCGAAACUGCAUUCGAUACUGCCGUGCUUGAGGACUGGAGAGGAGACUGGAAUUUACGGUGUAGCGGUGAAAUGCGUAGAUAUCGUAAGGAAGACCAGUGGCGAAGGCGGGUCUCUGGACAGUUCCUGACGCUGAGGCACGAAGGUCAGGGGAGCAAACGGG
rnacentral:rRNA from 1 species